AACGCAUAUUGCACUCUAUGGUAUUCCAUAGAGUAUACCUGUUUGAGCGUCAUUUCUCUCUUAAACCUUUGGGUUUAGUUAUGGGGGUUGUGUUUCUUUCUUUAAACAAAGAAACUCCCCUGAAAUGGCUCGGCAUGCUUCCCUUACCUUGCUAAGUAGCUUUAGCUGGCUUUAUUAUGUAGGUUUUACCAAUAUUAAUAAACACCCAGUUAAUUGGCUGAAAGGUUUGUGGUAAGAAGCCUAAACAAAAUUUUGUUUUAGAACAUAAAUUUUGACCUCAAAUCAGGUAAGGAUACCCGCUGAACUUAA
rnacentral:misc_RNA from 1 species